AGGAAUAUUGGUCAAUGGACGAGAGUCUGAACCAGCCAAGUAGCGUGCAGGAAGACGGCCCUAUGGGUUGUAAACUGCUUUUAUAAGGGAAUAAAGUUAGUCUCGUGAGACUUUUUGCAUGUACCUUAUGAAUAAGGACCGGCUAAUUCCGUGCCAGCAGCCGCGGUAAUACGGAAGGUCCGGGCGUUAUCCGGAUUUAUUGGGUUUAAAGGGAGCGUAGGCCGGAGAUUAAGCGUGUUGUGAAAUGUAGACGCUCAACGUCUGCACUGCAGCGCGAACUGGUUUCCUUGAGUACGCACAAAGUGGGCGGAAUUCGUGGUGUAGCGGUGAAAUGCUUAGAUAUCACGAAGAACUCCGAUUGCGAAGGCAGCUCACUGGAGCGCAACUGACGCUGAAGCUCGAAAGUGCGGGUAUCGAACAGGAUUAGAUACCCUGGUAGUCCGCACGGUAAACGAUGGAUGCCCGCUGUUGGUCUGAAUAGGUCAGCGGCCAAGCGAAAGCAUUAAGCAUCCCACCUGGGGAGUACGCCGGCAACGGUGAAACUCAAAGGAAUUGACGGGGGCCCGCACAAGCGGAGGAACAUGUGGUUUAAUUCGAUGAUACGCGAGGAACCUUACCCGGGCUUGAAUUGCAGAGGAAGGAUUUGGAGACAAUGACGCCCUUCGGGGCCUCUGUGAAGGUGCUGCAUGGUUGUCGUCAGCUCGUGCCGUGAGGUGUCGGCUUAAGUGCCAUAACGAGCGCAACCCCUCUCCUUAGUUGCCAUCAGGUCAUGCUGGGCACUCUGGGGACACUGCCACCGUAAGGUGUGAGGAAGGUGGGGAUGACGUCAAAUCAGCACGGCCCUUACGUCCGGGGCUACACACGUGUUACAAUGGCAGGUACAGAGAGAGGGUUGUACGUAAGUGCGAUCAAAUCCUUAAAGCCUGUCUCAGUUCGGACUGGGGUCUGCAACCCGACCCCACGAAGCUGGAUUCGCUAGUAAUCGCGCAUCAGCCAUGGCGCGGUGAAUACGUUCCCG
rnacentral:rRNA from 1 species